rnacentral:rRNA from 1 species
UGGGGAAUUUUGGACAAUGGGCGCAAGCCUGAUCCAGCCAUGCCGCGUGCAGGAUGAAGGCCUUCGGGUUGUAAACUGCUUUCGUACGGAACGAAAAGACUCCUUCUAAUAAAUGUGGUCCAUGACGGUACCGUAAGAAUAAGCACCGGCUAACUACGUGCCAGCAGCCGCGGUAAUACGUAGGGUGCGAGCGUUAAUCGGAAUCACUGGGCGUAAAGCGUGCGCAGGCGGUUAUAUAAGACAGAUGUGAAAUCCCCGGGCUCAACCUGGGAACUGCAUUUGUGACUGUAUAGCUAGAUUACAGCAGAGGGGGAUAGAAUGACGCGUGUAGCGGUGAAAUGCGUAGAUAUGCGGAGGAACACCGAUGGCGAAGGCAAUCCGCUGGGCCUGUACUGACGCUCAUGGACGAAAGCGUGGGAAGCAAACA